rnacentral:rRNA from 1 species
UACGGAAGGGGCAAGCGUUGUUCGGAAUCAUUGGGCGUAAAGGGCGCGCAGGUGGUUCUGUAUGUCUACCGUGAAAGCGUACGGCUCAACCGUAUUUUGUCGGUAGAAACUGCAGGACUUGAGGCUGGGAGGGGCUGGUGGAAUUCCCUGUGUAGCGGUGAAAUGCGUAGAGAUGGGGGAGAACACUAGUGGCGAAGACGGCCAGCUAGACCAGUUCUGACACUGAGGCGCGACAGCGUGGGGAGCAAACAGG